rnacentral:rRNA from 1 species
UGAAAGGAAGUGGCGGGCUCGCUGCAACUCCGAGCGUAGUAAUUCAUUAUCUCGCUAGGGAAGUGCGGCGUGCUCCUGCCGUUAAAGACACCAUCUUUAACCAAGGUUGACCUCGGAUCAGGUAGGAAUACCCGCUGAACUUAAGCAUAUCAAUAAGCGGAGGAAAAGAAACCAACAGGGAUUGCCCUAGUAACGGCGAGUGAAGCGGCAACAGCUCAAAUUUGAAAUCUGGCUUCGGCCCGAGUUGUAAUUUGUAGAGGAUGCUUUUGGUGAGGUGCCUUCUGAGUUCCCUGGAACGGGACGCCAGAGAGGGUGAGAGCCCCGUAUAGUCGGCCACCGAUCCUCUGUAAAGCUCCUUCGACGAGUCGAGUAGUUUGGGAAUGCUGCUCAAAAUGGGAGGUAUAUCUCUUCUAAAGCUAAAUACUGGCCAGAGACCGAUAGCGCACAAGUAGAGUGAUCGAAAGAUGAAAAGCACUUUGAAAAGAGGGUUAAAUAGCACGUGAAAUUGUUGAAAGGGAAGCGCUUGUGACCAGACUUGCGCCGGGCUGAUCAUCCAGUGUUCUCACUGGUGCACUCGACCCGGCUCAGGCCAGCGUCGGUUCUCGCAGGGGGAUAAAAGCUUCGGGAACGUGGCACCUUCGGGUGUGUUAUAGCCCGUUGCUUAAUACCCCUGCGGGGACCGAGGU